rnacentral:rRNA from 1 species
AUACGAAGGUCCCAAGCGUUAUUCGGAAUCACUGGGCGUAAAGAGUACGUAGGCGGUUUGGUAAGUCAGGUGUGAGAUCCCGAAGCUCAACUUCGGAACUGCAUCCGAUACUGCCAGACUAGAGUAAUGGAGAGGCAGGUGGAAUUCUCGGUGUAGCAGUGAAAUGCGUGGAUAUCGAGAGGAAGACCAAUGGCGAAGGCAGCCUGCUGGACAUUUACUGACGCUGAGGUACGAAGGCUAGGGGAGUGAAAGGGAUUAGAUACCCCAGUAGUCC